rnacentral:rRNA from 1 species
UACCCGCAGCACAAGUGGUGGUCAUUAUUAUUGGGCCUAAAGCGUCCGUAGCUGGCCUGUUAGAUGCCUGGGUAAAUCGAUGCGCUCAACGCAUCGAACUCCGGGUAGACCGGCAGGCUUGGGACCGGGGGAGGCGUGAGCUACUCGGGGGGUAGGGUAAAAUCCUGUAAUCCUCCGGGGAGGACCAGUGGCGAAGGCGUCACGCUAGAACGGCUCCGACCAGUGAGGGACGAAGCCCAUGGGC